rnacentral:rRNA from 1 species
UACGGGGGGGGGCAAGCGUUGUUCGGAAUUACUGGGCGUAAAGGGUCUGUAGGUGGUCUGCUAAGUCAGACGUGAAAUCCCUCAGCUUAACCGGGGAACUGCGUCUGAUACUGGAUGGCUGGAGUUUGGGAGAGGGAUGCGGAAUUCCAGGUGUAGCGGUGAAAUGCGUAGAUAUCUGGAGGAACACCGGUGGCGAAGGCGGCAUCCUGGACCAAUAUUGACGCUGAGGAGCGAAAGCCAGGGGAGCAAACGGG